UACGGGGGGUGCAAGCGUUGUCCGGAAUUAUUGGGCGUAAAGAGCUCGUAGGCGGCCUGUUGCGUCCGCUGUGAAAGCCCGGGGCUUAACCCCGGGUCGGCAGUGGAUACGGGCAGGCUAGAGGUAGGUAGGGGAGAAUGGAAUUCCCGGUGUAGCGGUGAAAUGCGCAGAUAUCGGGAGGAACACCGGUGGCGAAGGCGGUUCUCUGGGCCUUACCUGACGCUGAGGAGCGAAAGCGUGGGGAGCGAACAGG
rnacentral:rRNA from 1 species